UACAGAGGGUGCGAGCGUUAAUCGGAAUUACUGGGCGUAAAGCGCACGUAGGCGGCUUGGUAUGUCGGGUGUGAAAUCCCCGGGCUCAACCUGGGAACUGCAUCCGAAACUGCCUUGCUCGAGUAUGGGAGAGGGAAGUGGAAUUUCCGGUGUAGCGGUGAAAUGCGUAGAUAUCAGAAGGAACAUCAGUGGCGAAGGCGACUUCCUGGACCAAUACUGACGCUCAGGUGCGAAAGCGUGGGGAGCAAACAGG
rnacentral:rRNA from 1 species